UGCGUAACAGAACGCAGCACCCUUUACUCUGCUCAGACGUCAAAGGCGAGCAGCUAAUGGGAGUUCGCGCCACGGGGGAGGAAACCGAAGCACCCAGAAGAAAUCCACUUGGUCAUGAGAGAAUGUACAAACUCCUUACAGACAACGCUGUGUAGACUUGCAGGUCAAUCCGGAGAGCAUUGAAGAUCAACAAUGUUGUGAGAGAAUGUGGAUCCCCAACCUUCCCAGAAAAUCCUAGAGUUUCCAGGAAUUUAUCAGGAGCCAUUACAAGAACCUGGGAGAUUUUCAGUUGUUGCCAUCUCAGUUGAAUUGACAUCAAUUGGCAGCAUUUAUUGAAAUUGAAAAAAAUGCUCUUAGUCACUGUUGUCACAGGGCAAGGCAAUUCUGUUUUUCUACCUCUUUGGUCCAUAAUCAUACUUAUUGGCUCAAAGACGUCAAGGGCUUAAUGAAAACUAAAAUUAAUCUCUCUUGCCUCUCAUAAUUUUAAACACUGAUUUUUUUUUAAAAAAUCGUGUGACUAUUUUACUGUUAUCUUUUAUACGCUUGCUAUCUUGUAUAUGCUAUAUGUGCCUUGUGCUGUGUAUGACUUUGUACUGUGAUUUGCACCUUGGCCCUGGAGUAACAGUGUUUCAUUUGGCUGUAUUCAUGGGUAUUCAUGUAUGGUUGAAUGACAAUUAAACUUGGUGGACAUGUGAAGUCUUAGGCAAGUUAUCAAGCAUUAUCAGCAGUAAAUUCCAUGUGAUAUACUCUAUCUACAACCAGAUAAUAGCACAGAUAAAGAAUGUAGAGAAGAUUGCCAGGACUAGAAGGCCUGAAUUAUAGGCAGAGGCUGGCCAGGCUAUAUCUUUAUUGUUUGAAACGUAGGAGAAUGAAGGGUGGCCUUAUAGAAACAUAGAAACAUAGAAAAUAGGUGCAGGAGUAGGCCAUUCGGCCCUUCGAGCCUGCACCGCCAUUCAUUAUGAUCAUGGCUGAUCAUCCAACUCAGAACCCAGCCUUCCCUCCAUACCCCCUGACCCCUGUAGCCACAAGGGCCAUA